UCUAACUCUAACAGCUUCCCCCCCCCCUGGUCAACAGAGUUGAUCCAGUUGAUCUGGCUGGCUAGGCAGGUGUCCCUU
rnacentral:sRNA from 1 species